rnacentral:rRNA from 1 species
UGUAAGCGUAUACCAAAGUUGUUGCAGUUAAAACGCUCGUAGUCGGAAUUUGGCAGUUCCGGAUGUGUGCACGUCGUGUGCGCACUUCGCGGGGAUUGCUUUUGUGGUCUUGCGUAGGAUGAGGCACUUUUAUUAGUGAACGUCCUCACGCAACCACUUUUUACUGUGAGAAAAUCAGAGUGCUCAAAGCAGUCAUUUGCCGUGAAUGUAUUAGCAUGGAAUAAUAGAAUAGGACUUGGUUCUAUUUUGUUGGUUUGUUGGGACUGAGUAAUGAUUAAGAGGGACAGUUGGGGGCAUUUGUAUUUCGGUGCUAGAGGUGAAAUUCUUAGAUUACCGAAAGACAAACUGCUGCGAAAGCGUCUGCCAAGGAUGUUUUCAUUGA